UAAAGUGCGAAAUGUAAUGCGAUUUGCAUGAAUCUGUGAGUCAUUUAAUCUUUGAACGCAACUUGCACCCAUUCCUGGGUAUGUUUGUUUGAGACGGCAAACCCGAUGAAUUCUGUCGAUCUGGCCAUGACUUGGUCUUGGCUCAAAAGCAGCAUGCUACAACGGAAUUUGCUAGAGCUAGAGACGCAAGUCUUUUCUAAGCAAAUCGAACGCAAUAUCUAUAUCCGUCUCAAAUCAAGCAAGAUUACCCGCUGAACUUAA
rnacentral:misc_RNA from 1 species